AAUCCCUCCAAGUCAUUCUCUUCAUUUGAAAUUAAAGUGGGCAAUUUGCAGCAAAAUUCUUUUGGAACUGCACCUCUCAACCUUACUUUGAUGGCACCAGGUCUUGGAUACACUUGCGGACCACUUUUGGAUGUCGAUCCUACAGUUUCUUUGGAUAUUGGUGGUAAAAGACAAGUUCAAGUUUUCAGUAAGUAUGUUAACCAAAACAAAUUAAUGCAUAUAUAGAUACACAGUAAGACACAGAUACACAUUCUACUGUUCUGUAACUGGCCCAUUAUGUUGUCAAUCUAUAAAUACACUAUAUAUUGAAAUAAGUAUCUACCUGAUCAAUGGUUUCAUAUUGGUGCUAAUAUUACUGGUUUUCAGGAACAUGGAAAUCAACAUGCACUUAUUCAAGUUUUGUAGCUGCCAAAACACCGGUCUGUUGUGUUUCACUCUCUACAUUUUACAAUCCUAUCAUCACAUCAUGCCCCUUGUGUAGCUGUGGAUGCAGAUUAGCAGAUAAAACUACAGAGACAUGCCUAAGGUAUGUACGCUUAUAAUGGUUUUAAACUGCACAAAUCUUAAAGAUGAGAGCUACAAAUCAAAAGCAGCCUUGGGCUAUCUAUUUAAUUUUGGUCCAGAGCAUGCAUUAUGCAAGUUUCAAUUCAACUCAUCCUCACCGUGUCCCAAUUUCUUUCCUCUUUGUUAUCACAGAACCAGUUUCCCAUUGAUAACAGAUGAUGUUCAAAGUAAUCCUGAUGUGGUGAAAUGCACUGAUCAUAUGUGCCCUAUUCGAGUUCAUUGGCAUAUUAUGAGCAACUAUGUGGAUCAUUGGAGGGUAAAACUCACAGUUACUAACUAUAACUAUCAUAAAAACUUCUUGGACUGGAACGUACUGGUUCAGCAUCCGGGUUUCAGGCAGAAGGCAACAAUAUAUAGUUUCAACAGUACAAUGCUUCCUGCUGGGUUUAGAGGUACAAACUGGUCCACUCUUCUUUCAUAAGAGAUUGAUACUUAUUGUUCAAUAAUGUUCAAAGUACAAAUAAGCAUCGCUAAACAUCAAAUUGCUAAGUUCACAUUUAGUAGAAAGCAAGAUGUUUAACAGUAAAGCAGGAUAUAAUCUAGUCACAAACAGUCAAUCGGAGUGUUGGCAUUGAUUUUAGAUAGUAAAAUACAUGGUUGCAUUUAUAACUUGGUUCGAUUUCGAUCCAGUAGUUAGUGAAAAGCUUUUCAUGAUCCUAAUUAACACACAAGUCAUCAAAACUCCUAUAUAACUUUUACAGUCUACCUACUGAUUAAAGCUUUCGACUAAUGAAUCUGCUUGGAUCAUCCUUCAAGUUUCAAAGUAAAGGAAGAAAAUCAAAAGCCAGCUACUUUCUAAAAUAUCAUCCUAUAUAACUUUUACAGUUUACCUACUGAUUAAGGCUUUCGACUAAUGAAUCUGCUUGGAUCAUCCUUCAAGUUUCAAAGUAAAGGAAGAAAAUCAAAAGGCAGCUACUUUCUAAAAUAUCAUUCUCGAUCAAAUCUCCAUCGUGGUAUCAUACCAUGUGAGAAAGUUAGAGAAACAAAAAAGAUGGGUUCUGAAGCAAUUUCUGAAACACAUAACAUGCAAGUUUAUGGUGCCUUGAUAUAAAGUAACAGAAAAUGUUAUAGUUUCUCACCCAAAUGUGAACCUUUGCAGAUGAAGUUGCCCUGUUUUGGGGCAUACCCUACGUUAACACAGAGCUGAUUUCCACCAAGGAGGACCAAGUGGGUUCAGUCUCAACAGAGAUGCUUUUGAAGAAGGACAAGGAUUCCUUCACAUUCUCAAAUGGAUGGGCUUUCCCUAGGAGACUGUAUUUCAAUGGAGAGAGUUGCCAGAUGCCCCUACCAGACAGUUUCCCAACUUUACCAAAUGCUGCUGUCUCCAAUUUUGCAAAAUCCUCACACUGUUUGUUCCUGCUUUUGACAUUUUUGACUUCUCAGGCUUUGAUGAACUAACCACAAGCUACCCACAAGGCACGGUUUGAGUGAGUGAUUCCCCACAUUUUUUAAUGGGUCUCCUUUCUUGAUAACCUAAUUCUUGAGUUUCCCAAGUACAUGGUUGCACAUAAUAUUUGUGAAAUUGAAAUUGAUCAGCCAAACUGUUGAGGUUGGUGACUUGGUGUAUAAUAACUGUAAUUUGCC
rnacentral:lncRNA from 1 species